rnacentral:rRNA from 1 species
UACGUAGGGGCCUAGCGUUGUCCGGAUUUAUUGGGCGUAAAGAGCUCGUAGGCGGCUUGUUGCGUCGGCUGUGAAAACCCGCGGCUUAACUGCGGGCUUGCAGCCGAUACGGGCGGGCUGGAGUUCGGUAGGGGAGACUGGAAUUCCUGGUGUAGCGGUGAAAUGCGCAGAUAUCAGGAGGAACACCAAUGGCGAAGGCAGCUCGCUGGGACGUGACUGACGCUGAGACGCGAAAGCGUGGGGAGCAAACAGG